AUAGUAUGCAUCUGCAUAAAUGUUCAUGGCCUGAAUAUAUACUUUUGGUUAUCAUUCAUCCCUGCCAUUCUUGUCAUCUUGGUUGGAACCAAACUAGAGCACGUUGUCUGGAAACUUGCUCUCGAGGUUAAGGAGCAGCAGACAUGCACAACUAAUGGGGUUCAAGUCAAACCACGUGACA